GAUGAACGCUGGCGGCGUGCCUAAUACAUGCAAGUCGAGCGAACAGAUAAGGAGCUUGCUCCUUUGACGUUAGCGGCGGACGGGUGAGUAACACGUGGAUAACCUACCUAUAAGACUGGGAUAACUUCGGGAAACCGGAGCUAAUACCGGAUAACAUAUUGAACCGCAUGGUUCAAUAGUGAAAGGCGGCUUUGCUGUCACUUAUAGAUGGAUCCGCGCCGUAUUAGCUAGUUGGUAAGGUACGGCUUACCAAGGCAACGAUACGUAGCCGACCUGAGAGGGUGAUCGGCCACACUGGAACUGAGACACGGUCCAGACUCCUACGGGAGGCAGCAGUAGGGAAUCUUCCGCAAUGGGCGAAAGCCUGACGGAGCAACGCCGCGUGAGUGAUGAAGGUCUUCGGAUCGUAAAACUCUGUUAUCAGGGAAGAACAAAUGUGUAAGUAACUGUGCACAUCUUGACGGUACCUGAUCAGAAAGCCACGGCUAACUACGUG
rnacentral:rRNA from 1 species